CCCUUAGAUGUUCUGGGCCGCACGCGCGCUACACUGAUGCAUUCGACGAGCCUAGCCUUGACCGAGAGGUCCGGGUAAUCUUUGAAACUGCAUCGUGAUGGGGCUAGAUUAUUGCAAUUAUUAAUCUUCAACGAGGAAUGCCUAGUAAGCGUGAUUCAUCAAAUCGCGUUGAUUACGUCCCUGCCCUUUGUACACACCGCCCGUCGCUCCUACCGAUUGAGUGUGUUGGUGAGGAGUUCGGAUUGGCUCUUAGUGGUGGUUCGCCACCACCUAGAGCUGGGAAGUUCUCCAAACCGCCCCACUUAGAGGAAGGAGAAGUCGUAACA
rnacentral:rRNA from 1 species